rnacentral:tRNA from 1 species
GAGGGUAUAGCUCAAGUGGUAGAGCACAUGCUUAGCAUGCAACAAGUCCUGGGUUCAAUCUCCGGUACCUCCU